AUUUCAGAGUUCAACAAAGCCUGCUUCAUGUGUGCCACUGACGAAGAACCUGGAUGUGGCCCAGACUGACAGGAUUGAAUGUUUUGCCUGCCAACGGGGGUUCCAUGUGCUGUGCCUCGGAAUGAAGACCAAAGAGUUCACCAGAGUAAAGAACACAAACUGGAAGUGCAGUCUUUGUUGUUGAAAAUGUCUGCUCUACCCCAUCCACACUGAAGAGGCUCUGACAUGUACAUCAACCAGGGAUAAAGAGGAAGUUAACACUGACAUGUACAUCAACCAGGGAUAAAGAGGAAGUUAACACUGACAUGUACAUCAACCAGGGAUAAAGAGGAAGUUAACACUGACAUGUACAUCAACCAGGGAUAAAGAGGAAGUUAACACUGACAUGUACAUCAACCAGGGAUAAAGAGGAAGUUAACACUGACAUGUACAUCAACCAGGGAUAAAGAGGAAGUUAACACUGACAUGUACAUCAACCAGGGAUAAAGAGGAAGUUAACACUGACAUGUACAUCAACCAGGGAUAAAGAGAAAGUUAACAUGGUGAAAUGUUUCAUACUUAUUUGAAGUUAAGUGUCUGUUGACAUGUUGGAAAAGAUUAAAGGUCUACAAUUUCUGUUUAA